UACGUAGGGGGCAAGCGUUGUCCGGAUUUAUUGGGCGUAAAGAGCUCGUAGGCGGCCCGUCGCGUCAGCUGUGAAAACCCGCAGCUUAACUGUGGGCUUGCAGCUGAUACGGGCGGGCUAGAGUUCGGUAGGGGAGACUGGAAUUCCUGGUGUAGCGGUGAAAUGCGCAGAUAUCAGGAGGAACACCGGUGGCGAAGGCGGGUCUCUGGGCCGAUACUGACGCUGAGGAGCGAAAGCGUGGGGAGCGAACAGG
rnacentral:rRNA from 1 species